CAUAAAUUAAUAUCUUAUUCAUAGCACUUAUCAUUAUUUUAAUUCACAUAUUUUGUAAAUUCAACCAAAAAAUGUAUUACCUUCACCAGUGUAUUUUAAUGAAUUAUCAAAGGUAAUUCAAGUUCGAUUUGAUUAUUUAUUGAUUAAGUUUAAUGCAUGCAGGUCAAGUCAAGCUCAAUUAGGUAAAGCCUAAACGGACACUACAUCAUUUCAUAAUUUUAUAUUUUUAAGAAUCGACUCCAAGAAUUUUUUUCCAAAAUUCAGUGCUUUUCAAGUUCACCUAAAUUUCUUCCCACUCAUUCCAACUCUUUUUCCACAUAACCUAAUUUCCCUAUUUUAAUCUUAAAAAAACCAAUAAAAUCCUUUCAAUUAUUUAUCUCUCAGAUCUCAAAGCAUACCAUCCUAAUUGCACGGAUCCCAAAGCUCCAUUCACUCAUCACUCUCACCGAUCCCCUAUUCCCAGCUAAUGGAUAAAGCCCAGGCUUCCUCGCGCUCCCAUGUCUUCCGAGCCGUGAGCGUUUUUUUUUCUUCGACUUCCGUUCACGAAAACAAGGAGCAGUUCCAUUUCUUCCCGAGAUCACNNNNNNNNNNNNNNNNNNNNNNNNNNNNNNNNNNNNNNNNNNNNNNNNNNNNNNNNNNNNNNNNNNNNNNNNNNNNNNNNNNNNNNNNNNNNNNNUUCUGCAUCCAAAAAAUCCUCUGCUUCCUUUCUUAGUUCAGCCUCAUCUCGGUCGUGAUUCACCUUCAUCCCGCAUUGUUCUCGAUUCGACUUUAUCUUCCCAGGAUUCACAUCAUCCAAACUUCUUCCCUUCCGUAUCUUCAUUUCCAAAAACCUCCACGAAUCACGUCCACAAAUAGAAUCCCCUGUUUCAAAAUUCCAUCCUCUUCCAGCUUUCCGUGAGCCAAUCCACAUCAUCCCAGCUCCCGUAUCUUAUUGCUUCCCAACCAAAACCAAAUCGGAACAGAGUAUCCCAACCUCCUUCCGGAUUCGCCUUCUCAGCGGUUCUCUAUGAUUUAUCCAAAUCCCCUGCUUCCAGCUGCUUCAUCCUCUCAAACGCCCGCGUCUUGCAUCCGAAUCCCCUAUUUCACGGUCAGCCAUCAUCCGGAUUAAUCCCAGCAUAUCCAUGGAUAAACUCCGAACUGAUUUACCUCCCAGAUUUCAUCUGCAUCACCCAAAGAUCUCUUCCCAUCCCGUGAUCAUCAAAGGAUCUCGUUUCAGCCGAUUCCCAGACUUCAUCCUCCCGAGUCCCGAGCUUCACGGCAACCAAAUGUGUCUUCCCCUGUUUCGGAAACAGAACACAGGCAUCUUUCCACUUCGUGGAUCACUCCAUUCCAAGUUCAUCGCAGCGUCCGUGAGUAUCUCCUAGAGUCUUCGGAUCCAGCUCUAACUUCUACCGCGUCCGGAUCUUCCGCGGCCAACAAAUCCCAUCUCCAUCCAGCCGCUUUCAUCCUUAUCCCCUGCUUCAAAGAUAGAGUUCAUCUUCCCGCAUCCAGCUGUCCACCAAGGUUCCAGAUUGAUUCCAAAGGGGGGCGGGUGAAGGCUAUAAAAGGGAAGCAAUGCAUGAAGAUGAGAGCAUUCGGAAGGAGGGAGCCGGCUGGUCCCAAUCUCUCUUCACAGGCCGAGUUCCCACAAGAAGAAAGAGGGAGAGAAGACUUUGGUUAUUUUGGGAAUGAUUUCCCAAAGAAAAAAAUAAUGAAGUCCAAGAGGGAGAGGAAGCCGGCAGGAGAAAGGAGGGAGAACCCAGUCGUGAUGAAGACCUUCUACAUCGCUGCUGCUGUCGCCCACGACUCCAUGGAAGGCUGAUCUUCUCACUAGGGCUGGAUGCAGCCCUAACAAAGGAAUAAGGGUUUUAUAUUUUAUUUUAUAUUCUUGGAGUUGUAUGGACUUAUUGUUUUUAAUGAAUAUCUUCUUUUGAAUCAUAUUUAAUUUCUGUGAUUUUAAGUAUGAUGUUCGUACAACUGUUCUUCAUGAUCAUUGAAGUAAAAAUAAGAUAGUCCAUGCUUAGGGAAGAUGCGAUGUGCUGCCACCUUAGAUUAGGAUAGACAUUUCAUGCCAACUGAAGAUGGAUUAUGCCUAAAUUACUUUUGUGAAAUUUUAUUCGAAUGCUUAUUAGGCUUGUAGCCAAUUUGCAUGUUAAUCCAAGAACGAAAUAAAUUAUAAAUAACCCUUGUUCCGAUGUUAGUGGUGAAUUCCUUGCCCUAGGUUCUCCCAAAUUGAUAUCAUUUUAAUUGCAUUUUUUUAUUCAAUUGCUUAGUUUAAUAGUCU
rnacentral:lncRNA from 1 species